rnacentral:rRNA from 1 species
CCUACGGGGGGCAGCAGUGGGGAAUAUUGGACAAUGGGCGAAAGCCUGAUCCAGCCAUGCCGCGUGUGUGAAGAAGGCCUUCGGGUUGUAAAGCACUUUCAGUGGGGAAGAAAGCCUUGGGGCUAAUACCCUCGAGGAAGGACAUCACCCACAGAAGAAGCACCGGCUAACUCCGUGCCAGCAGCCGCGGUAAUACGGAGGGUGCGAGCGUUAAUCGGAAUUACUGGGCGUAAAGCGCGCGUAGGCGGUCUGAUAAGCCGGUUGUGAAAGCCCCGGGCUCAACCUGGGAACGGCAACCGGAACUGUCAGGCUAGAGUGCAGGAGAGGAAGGUAGAAUUACCGGUGUAGCGGUGAAAUGCGUAGAGAUCGGGAGGAAUACCAGUGGCGAAGGCGGGCUUCUGGACUGAAACUGACGCUGAGGUGCGAAAGCGUGGGUAGCAAACAGGAUUAGAUACCCGGGUAGUC